GCCCACGUGGCGGAAUUGGCAGACGCGCUAGAUUCAGGUUCUAGUGGGUAACACCGUACAGGUUCAAGUCCUGUCGUGGGCACCA
rnacentral:tRNA from 1 species